rnacentral:rRNA from 1 species
UACGGAGGGGGCUAGCGUUGUUCGGAAUUACUGGGCGUAAAGCGCACGUAGGCGGCUUUGUAAGUUAGAGGUGAAAGCCCGGGGCUCAACUCCGGAAUUGCCUUUAAGACUGCAUCGCUAGAAUUGUGGAGAGGUAAGUGGAAUUCCGAGUGUAGAGGUGAAAUUCGUAGAUAUUCGGAGGAACACCGAUGGCGAAGGCAAUCCCCUGGGCCUGCACUGACGCUCAUGCACGAAAGCGUGGGGAGCAAACAGG